GGACAGGAAAGAGCAUGUUUGAACACAGUAGGAAGGCGGGCUGCAAUAUUUGAUGUUGACAUGAAAGCAUCACCUGUCUGAAUUCAUGUUACUCUCUGAGGGCUCCUUUUACGUACAGUGGAUUUCUGAUGAUUGUUUAGUUUAGUCUCUCACAGCUUCCUUUUAAUCCUAUCUCUUUACACUGUGUCCGUAAUGUCUGUGGUCUGUAGCAGCUCUGCGGGUUGGUUAUUGGAUGAACUCCAUCUUCUGGAUAAGUGGUACCAACGUGGAGGAGGGCUAUACACAACCACCACUUCUCCCUCCAAUUAUAUGAGUGACCAUGAGAGGACUGGGGUCACUUACAGAUUCAGAGAGGACUUGUUCCUGAUUCUUAAACCUCAUAUAAAACCAUCAAAAACUCUCACAUCUGAUACCUUAAAUGAUCCAGUGAAGAAUUCCCCCCUGACUGUCAAUAGCACUACCAACAGGAAGGCUAUCAGAAAG